UUGCUUGCUUCAGCAGCACAUAUACUAAAAUUGGAACAAUACAGAGAAAAUUAGCAUGGCCUCUGUGCAAGGAUGACACACAAAUUUGUGACGUGUUCCAUAAAAAU
rnacentral:snRNA from 1 species